rnacentral:misc_RNA from 1 species
UAUAUAUAUAUAUGUAUUUCUGUUUAUGAACCCUAGUCUAUGUAGGAAUUUCUUCCCUACCAGGCGUGCUAUGCUCAGCAGACGAUUUCUUUCCUUUCUUUUCAUGAUCGUCUCUCAAGUCCUCGCCAUGAGUCCCACCGAUUUUCGUAAACUCGCCGUGGCCGCUUUGAUAUAUUACAGCAAUAGGUCUGGUGUCAAAAUCCUUAACAAAAUGGUUUAUUUUGUCAGAACCUGGUACAGAAGCAACUAAUGGAUCUUGAACUAACAAGCCUCUGAUUGCUUCUGGUAUAGGCUGGUCUUUCAUUACGCUCUUCCAGUAAUCCUCCGGCAGCUUUCUUGCAUAGUUUAGGCUGAUAAAAGAUGAAAGACAGAAAAGAAGGAAGAAGAAAGUGAAUGCAGGCUUCAUGUUUGCUAUGAUCUUGGAAAUUUUUUG